AUCAGGGUUCGAUUCCGGAGAGGGAGCCUGAGAAACGGCUACCACAUCCAAGGAAGGCAACAGGCGCGCAAAUUACCCAAUCUAGACAGUAGGAGGUGGUGAAGAGAAUUACUAAGUGGUGGUCUAAUGACUACUAGCUUGGAAUGAACGUAAUUUAAGCAAUUCGAUGAGUAACAACUGGAGGGCAAGUCCUGGUGCCAGCAGCCGCGGUAAUUCCAGCUCCAGUAAUCUGCGUUAAAGUUGUUGCGUUUAAAACGCUCGUAGUUGGAUAACGCAGUCGCAAAAGGUAAUCUGUAUACAUACUAAGUAGCUGUCGGUGGAAACUUGCGCAGCAGUUGUUUUGGUCUUCACUGAUCGAAACGAUUGUGUGUGGGUACUGCUGGCAGUGGGUAUGUUGCAGAUGUUAACGCCUUGUUGUGACUAUUUGCGCGUGAGUGUGAUGGUUGACCUUAAGUGUGUUGAGCAUCAUGUCUCACGGAGUGUGCCUUGAAUAAAUCAGAGUGCUUAAAACAAGCGAUUGCUUGAAUGUGAUAGCAUGGAACGAACAAACGUGUGUAAGUGCGUAUAGUGUUGUUUUGGAUGGGUUUAUGACUCAUCUUACGACCUGUACGUGCAGCACCUACCUUAAUACGGAUGUUGGUUUCUGUAUACGGUGACGAUUAAAAGGAGCGGUUGGGGGCAUUGGUAUUUGACCGCGAGAGGUGAAAUUCUUAGACCGGCCAAGGACUGACAAAUGCGAAGGCAUUUGCCUAGACCGUUUCCAUUAAUCAAGAACGAUAGUGGGAUGUUCAAAGACGAUUAGAUACCGUCGUAGUUCCCACUGUAAACUAUGCCGACCUGGGAUCAGCCUGUGAGAUAUUACAAGCUAAAGG
rnacentral:rRNA from 1 species